GGGGAUAGAGCUCAGUAGGUAGAGUGCUUGCCUCACAUGCAUAAGGCCCUGGGUUCAAUCCCCAGCACCA
rnacentral:tRNA from 1 species